rnacentral:rRNA from 1 species
AGGACGAACGCUGGCGGCGUGCUUAACACAUGCAAGUCGAGCGGUAAGGCCUUUCGGGGUACACGAGCGGCGAACGGGUGAGUAACACGUGGGUGAUCUGCCCUGCACUCUGGGAUAAGCCUGGGAAACUGGGUCUAAUACCGGAUAUGACCUGCUCUCGCAGUGGGGGGUGGGUAGGAAAGUAUUUAUCGGGUG